AUAAAGUGGACAUGAUCAGGGAACAUUUAAUGCUUGGGCAAACCACCGCUAGGUCUGUGGACGCCUUACCAUUAAUUAUUACACCAUAGCCAUGUACUGAGUCACUUAAAUAAAUAGAAUGAUUGUCCAUAUGCUUUAUCGAAGUAAUGGAAACGUGUGUCCUUUAGAAAGCUUGCUUUUCCUGGAAGGUUACAUCAUUGGAGUUAUCCCCCACACCCACCUUUUAAAAAUAGUGUCUUGCUGUGGAACCCAGACUGGCCUUGAACUUCCGUUACUCCCACCUCUGUUUUCUGGGUACUAGAUACAAUGAUGGAUUUCCAGAUGACAGCAAAUAUUUGUAAAACACUUGCACCUGCCGACCUUCCACAGAACUGAAGUUUCUUCACCCCUGAUUCAUGGACUCGGAUGACACUUCCAUCCUUUCCAGACAGAUGGGAGCUUUUCAGGUCAUAAUGGUGGGAGAGGAUGAGCUAGCAGCUUGUCGUCUUGGGAGAGUUCCCCAGCACCAUUAAGGAAGGCGUCACAGAUCCCAGUCCUCUUGUUUACAUGCUUGCUGAGCAAGCUGAUGGUGUGAGGUGAAAAUGGCUUUCAAACUGCCUUGGAUGGCUGCUCACCACUCCUUCUACCCUGAGCUCAGAAGCAAGGGCAUCGCACAACAGGAAAUCCAACAGUCAUUAUGCCUGAUACCAAACAAAUAAGUCCUUUCAUCUUCUUCAUCAAAAUCUACGACUCCUGCAAACGCCUUUACUCCUGUAUUCCUGCAGACUCCUUACCAAAGGAAUAAAUGCUUUUUGUAUCA